ensembl:lncRNA
AAAGCCAUGAAAUCCUGUAAGGACUGUUGGAAGUUUUAGAAUGAUGUGCUAAUUUAAUGUGCAAGGACUUGUGUGGCCUAUUUAGCAUUUUUAGAAGGAGCCUCCAGUGUUGAUCUAUAACAGUCAAAAGUAGUUGUUUCUUCGUGAUGGAGGACUUUGCAGUUUCUCUGUAACAUAACGGGAACUAAAUUGUAUCGCAGGAUUUUCCACAACGUAAAAUGUCCCUAGAUUGAUUUUUUGUAAUUGUCAGGAUGAUGUAGUGUCCGGCGGAAUAAUACACUUCGGAACGGCCGGUUAAUGGGAAAUAUACUUUUGCCUAUUAAAAGUAACUUCACAUCAUCAUAGUACCCAGUCACUGAUUAUUUUCCUGUAACAGCGUGCCACCAGGUGUUUUAUUCUCUCAUUUGUCUGACUCGAUGGCUCACGGAGAUUAUCUAAAAAAAAAAAAAAAAAAAAAACCCCAUUUAUGAAUUCUGUCUGAAUCAGCAUCUUAUUCCGUACAUACAGCACUAUUUUGAGAGCUUUGCCAUUUUGUAGCCAUGUAUGGAAAUCCCAUAAUACACUGCUUACCAUCUAUUCAAAAUGCAAGCAAGUUGUUUGGGGUGUAUAUCUGUUUUUAAUCCCAUCAGAAGCACCAGCAAUCUCUUCAGUUUCUCUCUAUGCGUUAUUCUUUUUAAAUGUCUCUGAACUCGCACAGAACCGUGGGAUUAUUGUUGAAGUCUCUUGCAUAGUGCCUGUUGCAUAUCUGAUUGGCUGCCCCCUGGUGAUGCUAUACCUCUCAUUUGCAUAAAGUUAAGAUAUUCUCACAUGCGCAUUUCUCACCCCAUAGUUAUUUUUUUAUUUACACAAAAGCAUAUCAGCUCUGGGUAUCAGGCAAUGUUUGAUAGUGAUGUCCUCUUAGUAACCAGCAAAGUUAUUGUGAAAUGUCAGAGGCCUGAUGGAGGCAAGCUUUAACUCCGUUUCGGUGGUAUUUUAUGUGCACAAAACAGAUGGAAAGUGUUUCCAUUCAGUAUUGGAUCAUUGCUGCUUCACUGCAGUGUGAAUGCACAGUUCGGCUUAGCAUCUGAAUGAUUAGUUCACGGCGGGAUCU